GACGAACGCUGGCGGCGUGCUUAACACAUGCAAGUCGAACGGAAAGGCUCCAGCUUGCUGGAGUACUCGAGUGGCGAACGGGUGAGUAACACGUGGGUAAUCUGCCCUGCACUCUGGGAUAAGCCUGGGAAACUGGGUCUAAUACUGGAUAUGACCUUUCUCCUUAUGGGGUUUGGUGGAAAGUUUUGCGGUGUAGGAUGAGCCCGCGGCCUAUCAGCUUGUUGGUGGGGUGAUGGCCUACCAAGGCGACGACGGGUAGCCGGCCUGAGAGGGUGAUCGGCCACAUUGGGACUGAGAUACGGCCCAGACUCCUACGGGAGGCAGCAGUGGGGAAUAUUGCACAAUGGGCGGAAGCCUGAUGCAGCGACGCCGCGUGAGGGAUGACGGCCUUCGGGUUGUAAACCUCUUUCAGCAGGGACGAAGCGUAAGUGACGGUACCUGCAGAAGAAGCACCGGCUAACUAUGUG
rnacentral:rRNA from 1 species